UGGUGGGCUCCACCCAGUUCCAGCUUCCCGGCUGCUUUGUUUACCUAAUCAAGCCUGGGCAAUGGCGGGCUCCCCUCCCCCAGCCUCGCUGCUGCCUUGCAGUUUGAUCUCAGACUGCUGUGCUAGCAAUCAGCGAGACUCCGUGGGCGUAGGACCCUCCGAGCCAGGUGUGGGAUAUAGUCUCGUGGUGCGCCGUUUUUUAAGCCCGUCGGAAAAGCGCAGUAUUCGGGUGGGAGUGACCCGAUUUUCCAGCUGGGUGCGGUGGCUCAGGACUGUAAUUCCAGCUACAUGAGAGGAUUGCCUGAGGCCAGGAGUUUGAGACCAGCCUGAACAACAUAAUAGACUGGGAGCUCCAUGAGGUCCGAGACAACCUGAAGACGCCCAGCUCAGCAGAGACUGGCUACGGCAAUCACUCAGUAACUAUUUGUUGAAUUGGACAUAAUAGAAGAGCUGAAGAAUUUUAAACAAGUCACCAUCAGUGCAGUGGAUUCCUCAAAGCAAACCUGGAAAUCUCGGCAUGAGUUGGAUUUAAGGCAGUACAUUUUCAGCUCCUGAAAAUUUGAACAGUUUCUCAAGAGAACAACUUGAAACAGAAAGGCAAGGAUGUAGAUGUGGUUGUAGAAGAUGAUGUCUGCGGCCACCAAACUGUCCACUGUGAAGACAAACCAUGCAUGUUUAGUAGGCAGUGGCUCCUCUUCCCUGUGGGGAGUCCCACUGCUUCCCUGGCCUGGGUGUUCUCUGCCGGUAGAUGUUAUUGACAAAAUAAGCAAAGUCCUCUGAUUCUGAGAAUUAGAGUUAAUGAUAGCUCUAGAUUGCCUCUGCCAUGCUAUUUAAAGUCCUGCUUUAUUGUCUGACAUGAGUUCGGCAUCUAUGAGGACUUGUCCAGUGCAAAGUACAAUCUCCACUGAAAGAUAUCACCAGCACAUCUUGUCACUGUGCUGUAGCAAGCUGGGCAGUACAAUGAUGUUGGCAGGAUCCUGUUUAGGUGGAGGAUGGCCACCUGGGCAUCAAGAAUCUUCUACCCUGAUUCCACAUUGACUCCCCAAAGUGGGCUUCAGACAGCUCUUUACUUACGUCUUCUGAUUAAAGCAGCAGACAGGGUCCCAGCUAGAGAAAAGUUCUGGGAGCAGGAGAGGUGUUGGUGGCUUUAAAACCAGGGGUGAAGAUUGAAUUAGGAGGUUAGGCAGGAGUAGGAUCAAAGACUUAGAAAAUGCUUGUUUCCUCCUAUUAUUCUUAUGAGAGCUGAUACGGGGCUUUCAGUUUUGGGGGAGAGCCUUGGAAGAGAAUGAGGGAAUUUAAUCAACUAGCGGGACCUUUCCAACUUACAUUUCCCAGUGUUUGUUGGAUGAUACGUUUGCCUAAUAAGUUAAAGCUUCCAAAAAUAGAAAGGAAAGCUUGGUGACACUAAGCUCUGGCAUGCUGUCAUCUUCUGGCUAGGGGUCUUGUGCUUCUGUUUUUCUAUUUCUGACCAAAGACAUAAAAUGUGUUGUGACCUCUCAGGUAAUGCUGUGGUAUCAUGUCCAAGCAGUAACUAACCAGAGUGGAGUUUUUACAGGUAAAAAAGUAUUGAAUAGCUCAGCAACAGGGAGGACUUAAUGAUAAAUUGCUUUUUCAGAAAAUGACAAGGGGACAGACACUUGCGGUUCUUCCAUUGAGAGCCUUAAGGAAGUUAAGCGAAGCCUCUGCUCACCCCUUCAAGUAACGAUGACCCAUCAGAUCGUGGUCAUAACCAGUAGCAUCUGAGGCACCCCUAAGCUCUCUGGGCCCCAGAUUCCUUGUUAAGUUAAAUGAGGUGACUUCCCAGUUUACCAUUCUAGGGGUUCCUGAGGAGUUAAAAAUGAAGGAGAAAAUGCAACAUGUACCAAGUGAGCAAGAGCUCAAGGCUUAUCUCUGGCACGAAAGUGACCGCUGUCCGUUAGAGAUGUGAUUGCCCUAGAUUUCCUUUAGGAAAUGCAAACAUUGAACUCUGGCCUUCAGGACCCAAGUCCCGGCUUGCAUCUAUUCUAUACACUUUCUGUUAUUUGUUAGGGCUCACAAGGAACAGUUAUUUAUCUUUUAUUUUCUAUUUUUUUUUUAGAGAUGGAGUCUCACUCUGUCUCCCAGGCUGGAGUGCAGUGGUGCCAUCUCAGCUCACUGCAACCUCCACCUCCCGGGUUCAAGCAAUUCUCCUGUCUCAGCCUCCUGAGUAGCUGGGACUACAGGCGUGUGCCAUCAUGCCCGGCUAAUUUUUAGUAUUUUUAGUAGAGGCAGGGUUUCACCAUAUUGGCCAGGCUGGUCUUGAACUCCUGAUCUCAAGUGAUCUACCCUCCUUGGCCUCCCAAACUGCUGGAAUUACAGAUGUGAGCGACCACACCUGGCCCAUUUGUUUUCUUUCAAACCCUUCUGUAAGACCAGUGCUUUAGGUGAACACGUGGACAGAACAAGAUCAUCACUAUUUUGCAAUAUGAAGACCAACUGCGCUGUGACCAGAAAAACAGAGGCAAAAUGUUGAGCUUAAUGAUACCUUUUUAUAAUUUGUAUUUGGUGUUUCUCAAUUUUCCAUUGGAUAGUUUGAGAGAUAAGUACAAGUCAAUGACAUGUUCUCUUUCGUACCCUAUUGUCUAAUCCUGCUAACACACACACACACACACACACACACACUGAUUACCUAAUUUAUCUGUUCCCCGAUUAUUACACUCUCAAUUGCUGCAGAGUCUCAGAAGCAGCAUGGUGUAACAGAAAGAAUAUGAGGCUUAGAAUCCAAAAGCCAGAGUGUGAAUUCCAGCUCCACUGACUUGCUGCGUGACUUGAAGCAAGUCAUUACGUGUCUCUGUUUACUCAUUUUAUGACUUUCCUAUUGCCUCUGUAAUAUAGCACCACAAACGUGUGGACUUAAAACAACAUGCAUUUAUUCUCUUAGCGUUCUGGAGGUCAGGAGUCUGACAUCAAUUUCGUUGGGCUAAAAUCAAGAUGUUGGUAGGACCAAGAUCCCCGUGGAGGCUCUGGGAGAACCCAUUUCCUUGCCUUUGCCAGCUUCUAAUGCUGCAUUCCUUGCAUUCCUUGAUUGUUGACCUCUUCCCCCAUCUUCAAAGCCAGCAGAACAGCACCUUGUUUCAUUGCCUUCUUUACUGUCAAAUCUCCCUCUGCCUUCUUCUUAUAAGAACACUUGUGGUUGCAUUUAGAAGCUGUGAUAAUCCAGAAUAAUAUCUUUAUCUCAAGAUCUUUGACUUGGUCUCUUCUGCAAAGUCUCUUUUGCCACAGAGGGAAAUAUUCACAGGUCCCAGGGGUCAGGCUGUGUACGUCUUUGGGGGACUUUAUUCUGCCUACCACACUCAUCUUUUUUUUUUUUUUUUUUGGAUGGAGUCUUGCUCUGUCACCCAGGCUGGAGUGCAGUGGCAUGAUCUCGGCUCACUGCAACUUCUGCCUCCCCAGUUCAAGCAAUUCUCCUGCCUCAACCUCCCAAGUAGCUGGAAUUACAGGCGCCUGCCACCACGCCCGGCUACUUUUUGUACUUUUAGUAGAGAUGGGGUUUCACUAUGUUGGCCUGGCUGGUCUUGAACUCCUGACCUCAGGUGAUUCCCCCACCUUGGCCUCCCAAAGUGCUGAGAUUACAGACGUGAGCCACCAUGCCCGGCCCCACACUCAUCUAUUAAGUAGAGCUAGGAAUUCCUAUCCUAAGGGACACAAAAAUGAAAAAAGAUAAAAUUUGUGAAGAGGCACAUAAUGAAAGCCCAUACAUGUCACUGAGUUCAGAGGAGGGUGGGUCUGACCUCCCAUUGGCUGGUCUCUGCCUGAUGGACAUCGUGAAGAAGAGAGCCAGGACUAGUGUGGCUGGGGGAUGUUCAGGGGCCAGAGUGGCUUCAGGUGCCAGCAGCCCUGGCCGAAGGAUGACUCCAGGAGCAAGGCUCAGAGCCGAGUGGAAGAAGCUUCAUAAACGCAACUGAGCCAAGCAUGAUGGGAUGUGCCUGUGGUUCCAGCUACUCAGGAGGCAGGUGGGAGGAUGGCUUGAGUCAGAAGUUCGAGGCUGCAGUGAGCUAUGAUCACACUACUGUACUCCAGCCUGGGUGACAGAAUGACACCCUGUCUCUAAAAAGAAAAGGCACCUGGAUGCUCAUGACCGAGAUGGGGUGGGGUGGGUGGGGUGGGACAGCCGCACUUUAUAACUUUGCUUUCAGCAUGAUGUGGAUUAGUGUCUCCCAUGUGGGAAAAUUAUGUUUACCACUUAGAGACCUGAUAGUGCUUGCUUACCCCAUAACGCUGGACGGUGGCAGGCUUAACUCCCCCAUCAAGGGCCUUAAUGUAUUUGGGGCCCUAGUCCUAGCAACAGCAGCAAAUCUCCUUUUUCUUUUCCUCGAGCUGGUUGUUCACCAGGCAGUUGGGAUGUUAAUGGGAAGAGAAGACACACACAAGUCCCUUGUUUUCAAUAAGGCAGUCUGGUCACGUCCUUAGCAGGUUAUUAAUCUUUUUCAAACCCCUCCUCUCCACCAAGUUUUAUGAUCCUGGGAAGGAGAUUCCUACCUAGCAUCCUUAGAGUUAUCGGGGGUUAGGAUCGGUGCAUGCAGUCACUUCCGUGGAAUCAUCAGUAGCCCUCCAGCCUCUGGGGAGAGCUGCCAGUGGUCAGAGAUGUUGGGAAUUACGAGGGAGGAGCUAGGGAGAAGGAACUCACAGUCCCUCAGUCUCUGAAGGUGGCUCCUGGCAGGAGAGGGGGCCAGUCCUAGAUAAGAGCUCUCCCAGGGAAUUCCAAGGGUCCUCCCAAGGUCCAGCCACAAGAUGAGGAAUUACUGUUGGGCUCUUCCUCAGAUGUGCCUGUGAAUUCAUAUCACAGAUGCUUGAUGCAUUUGACAAUUGUUUAAUUGCUUGAGCCCAACUGAUACUCUUUCAGUCACUUUAAGGGAGUGAUUUCAAGUAUGAUCAUUGCCUCAAAUCUGUAUGGCUUUCCUUGCCUUUCAGGUGCUUUAAGAGGGCUUAUGUUCUUUGACUCCCCUAGUAACUCAAAAGGGUGGCUAAGAUGCAACUCUGGAGGUUUCCAAGCUCUCUGCAAAGCCUGCCUUCAGUAGUCUGUGCACCACAAGAAGCAUAACUUUAUUAUCCUCUAGCUGAAUUUACCUCCUGCUUCGAGCCCCUGUUUUCCCAUGUCAUUUUAGGGGUCCAAUGUUUUUCCUGGAGGCAUAUACACACACACACACACACACACACACACACACACACACACACACACACACACAUAUAUACACACACACAUUCCAGGGGCCUCUGAGGUGCCAAGACAUGUGUGGGGUCCAUCUGGUUCACACUGAUGUCCAUGAUCAUUGAGUUCAUUUUUUAUAUCAACUAUGUGACACUUCCUAUAGUUUCCAGUUCCUGGUUAGAAUUUGCAAAGUUGCCGACUAUUUCUUUGAAUAGAGUAGCUAGAUCAUGGGUCUACACCAGUCAUCAAGCAGCGAUUUCCCUGUUGGAAGCUCCAAGCAAAUUGUCAGCUCCAGCAUUCCACACAGCUGUGGGUGCCACACUCCUUUUCCUUUUAAAAGAUGAUGAUCUGCUAGUGGUGAAUGCUCUUGGAGUUUUAUUUGUAGGUUUUUCUUGUUGUCGCAAAUGUCUAUAUUUCAUCUUCCCUCUUGAGGGAUAUUUUCCAUGGGUAGAGGAUCUAGGCUUUUCUUUUGGAUUCCAUUGUGGCUUUAAAAAAAAGUCAGUUGACUGUUUAUUUAUGGCUUCUCUAAAGGUGAUCUCUUUCUUCCUAAGGCUGCUUUAAAAGUUUCCGUUCCCUCCCUCCCUUCCUCCCACCCCAUCCCCCUUCUUCCUUUCCUUCCUCCCUCCCUUCCUCCCUUCUCUUCCUCCCUUUCUCCCUUGUCUUCCUCCUUUUCUCCCAUCCUCCCUUCCUCCCUCUUUCCUUCUUUUUUCCCUUCCUCCCGCCCUCCUUCCUUCUUCCAUCAUUAUAUAUUAAAAUAUUUUCUUUCUUUCUUUUUUUUUUUUGAGAUGGAGUUUCGCUCUUGUUGCCCAGGCUGGAGUGCAACGGUGUGAUCUUGGCUUACUGCAACCUCCACCUCCCUGGUUCAAGCGAUUCACCUGCCUCAGCCUCCCUAGUAGCUGGGAUUACAGGUGCCCGCCACCACACCCAGCUAAUUUUUGUAAUUGUAGUAGAGAUGGGGUUUCACCAUGUGGGCCAGGCUGGUCUUGAACUCCUGAACUCAGGUAAUCCACCCGCCUUGUCCUCCCAAAGUGCUGGAAUUACAGGCAUGAGCCACCACUCCCAGCCUAUUAAAAUAUUUUCUUCUGGGCCUUCCCUCCUUUUACUUCUUUUGAUACCGCCAUCAAAUGCAUGUUAGGUUGACUCACUGUGUACUCUAUUACCCUCUCAUCUGGUUUUUAAUCUUUCUGUCUCCUUAUACUGUAAUCUCAGUGUUUCUUCUGCUUUAAUUUUGGUAUAUGAAUUAUUCAGCUGUGUUCAAAGUGUGGUUAAAGCGACUUAUAUGCUCUUUAAUUUUUAGUUAUUGUACUUUUCACCUCUAGAAGUUCUUCUGUGACACUUCUUAUAGUUUCCAGUUCCUGGUUAGAAUUUGCAAACUUGUUGACUAUUUCUUUGAAAAGAGUAGCUAGAAUUGUUUUAGUCUGUGUAUAGUGAGUUGAAUAUCUGAAACCUCUGUGAGUCUGUUUCUUUUGUCUGCUAGCCCUACUCAUGGCGUCAUGUUUUCCUGGAUGUUUAGUUGGUUGUCUUUGAAUAUGUCCAACUCCAGUUAUUUCUGGGAAUACCCAAAGGCACACCUGUUCACUAUCACCCAGUGAACUGCCAUGUGUUUGUCUCCUGUCAUGGUAACAUUUGCAUUCAGGGAGAGGCCUCUGCUCUCUGCAGAACAGUGUGAAAUCACCUCAUUUUUGCCUUCAAUGAAGGUUGUCUCUUGCUGGUCACCACCACUUCCUCAAAUGACUAAUGCCACUCUUGCUCACAGUGCUAAGGCGCUAAGGAGUUUUCAGAGGGCUAGAGUGAUUCUGCAUCCUCUGGGGUUCUCAGGAAACGAGGCCACAGGGCCAUCUGUGCAUGAGUGACAGUGGGGUGGGGUGGAUGAGCAGUGGCAGUGGUGGGCACCUAUGCUGCUGGCGCCACAGCUUUUUAUAUCUUGGUGAAAACAACGCCUUGCGUUUUCACUUGUAGAUUCUCCGGCUACAUUCCACAAGAACAAAUUCUGGUCACAGAGGCCAGAGUAGACUAUCAGUGUAAUGGCCCUUCCCCUUUGAUGAUAGCAGCUUUUUUCGGGGGAGCAGGGGUGGCCAAACUUCCUAGCCUUAUUUUAUCUUCCUUUCUAGUUCUCCCCAGAGGCUGCUGGGUCCACCUCUCCCUCUGCCAGACAGACAGGCUCAGACAUGCAAGAACGGAAGGGGGUGUGGGGGUUGGUGGGAGGAUUAAGUUGGGGAAAGCCAGUCUUGUCUUUGUAGAUUACCAGAACUGACACACGUACACACACGUACACUCACUCACUCACUCACUCAUCUAUUCAUCUAUUUUUGGCCUAAGUGCCUUUGGACACUUCUUCGGAAAAGCACAUGAACUCUUCGGAGUCUCCUGUUCCACUUGGUAAAUUUCCUAUAGCCACGCACUGAAAGUCCCUGCUGCCCUCCUUCCUCUGAGCUUGUGGGGCCCACAGAUCCCCUGCUCCACUUCCUGCUUCAUUUCAGCUGAUGGUGAGUCCAGGGCAGGCUUGUAGGAAGGGCGGGCUAGGCGUGGGGAACUGCAGCACCCACCCCACCCCCCGCCCCAGUGCUUGUUGCCCCAGCCUCUGUCUCCCUCGCUGUGCCCUUCCCUUAAGCCCCACUCUUGGCCUCCCCAAAGACAGAGUUUGUUCUGUUUUUAUUGAUAGGAUGACACUCCCUCGUUCUAAUACCAUCUGAAUGCCUGAGCAAUUACAUCUUACAACCUCAUGAAAAACACAGCAGCUUGUCACGAUGAAUGAUGUUACCGUGAAUAAUGCAGUUUUGAGUUCAAACUCCUUCUUAUUCCAAGAAUGAGUAAAUAUCCCUAUUCCCUCCCCUCCCCAUUGCAUUUGGGUUUGACAUGACAUGAAUCAUUGUGGUUUUACUCCUGGGUAGAAUUGUUUUUCUGUAUUGCAUUGCCAAUUGAUGGAAGGACAAAAAAAGGAAACUUACCAAUGAGCAGUUUCAGAUGAACUUAAAUUCUCAGAAAUCUUGAAGAAUGAAUGAACUAUAACUUUCUGAAGUUGCAAAAAUGUUCAAGUCGGAAGUGACCCAUGGGAAGCAACCUGGUCCUUAAUUAGGACUGGAAAGAAAACGGAGGCCCAGCGAGGGAACAGUGGCUUCCCCAAGGUCACACUGCAAGUGAGUGGUGGCACUAGUCACCCAGGAGUCCUCCUGACUCCAUGGUAUCCUGACCCCAGACCAGCAGCCUUAUUUGUGGUUAAAGAACGUGGAAAAACAGCUUAUGUUUGAAUUUUAAAAUCAUGCCAGUACUAAAGAUCUGCAUUCCAUGAAUAUUGAGCUUUGCUGUGUGCGGGUUGCUACGAAUUUUGUAACUAUUUUCUCUAAGAGCUCUCAGUAUUUUACAUAUACAAUUCCAUUCUUUAUUGUCCAGGGAAAAAGUUGCAUUUACUGAGCAGUAAGAGGGUGAUUUGAAGUCCCUGGGGUCCCCCACCCUUGUCUUUCUAUGUGAGAUUGUAUUGCAGGGCUCACAUUUAUUCUCUCAGCAGCUCAUUGCACAGACAGUGUAUUUAUUGAGCACCUACUGUGUGCCAGGAGCUAUGUGGUAAGCUAAGCAGACAAAAACUCCUGCUCUCACAAGAAGAAAGAAUAAACAAGCAGACAAUUGCACCUAUAAUGUCAGCCUGGUGUGAUGGCUCACUCCUGGAAUCCUAGCACUUUGGGAGGUGACGAUGGGAGGAUUGCUUUAACUCGGGAGUUCAAGAUAAGCCUGGGCAACCAAGACCCUGUCUCUACAAAAAAAUCAAAAAAUUAGCUGGGGGUGAUGGCAUGAGUCUCUGGUCCCUCGGGACCAGAGGCCUCGGGAGGCUGAGGCGGGUUUAUCACUUGAGCCUGGGAGGUUGAGGCUGCAGUGAGCUGUGAUCACACCACUGCACUCCAGCCUGGGCCACAGAGCGAGACCCUGUCUCUAAAUAAACAAACAACCUAAUGUCAAGUUAGGAAGUGUGGCAAAAAGGAACAAAGUCAGGGUGACUGCCAUUCUAGAAAGGGUGGUGAGGGAAGGUCUCCUUGAGCAGAUCCUGUGGGAGUGGAAGGGUAAGUCACGAGACUCUCUGGAGGAAGAAGAUUCCAGGUGGAAAUGCCUUAGUGGGUGUUAAACGCUUUAACGGGUGUUAGCCAGAAAGCCAGAAUGGCUGGAGCUGAGGGAGUAGAGGAGGCGGCAUAGAAAAUGAGGUCAGAGAUGGAGGCAGGGCCGGAUCACAGAGGGGCACAGAGAACGAGGAGGGAAUUGGAUUUUUGGAAAAGAUUGUGGCAAAAUACAAAAUAUAAAAUACAAAAAUAAAAUAUAAACCAUAAAAUGUACUACCUUUACCAUUUUAAGUAUGCAGUUCAGUAGUGUUAAAUACAUUUACAUCAUUGUUCAACCCGUCUCCAGAACUCUCUGCAUCUUGCAAAAUUAAAACUCUAUGCCAUUUCAACAGUUCGCAUUUCCUCUUCCCUCUCGUUCAUGGCAACCGCCAUUUUUCUUUCUGUCUCUGUAAAUGUUAGUACUUGGGGUAUCUCAUCUAAGUGGAAUCACACAGUGUGUGUCCUUUUGUGACAGACUUAUUUCACUUUGCAUAAUGUCCUUAAUAUUCAUCCAUGUUGUAGCAUGUGUCAGAUUUUCCUUCCUUCUUAACAUUGUGUAAUAUUCCAUUGUACGCAUAGACUACAUUUAGCUUAUCUGUUCACCUGUGGAUGGACACUUGGGUUGCUAUAGUGAAUAAUAUUGCUGUAAAUAUGGGUAUACGAUUAUCUCUUUGUGACCCUGCUUUUAAUUGUUUUGGAUAUAUACCCAGAAAUGGAAUUACUGAAUCAUGUGGAGAUUCUGUUUUUGAUUUAUUUAUUUAUUUUUAAUUUUUGAGAUGGAGUCUCGUUCUGUCACCCAGGCUGGAGUGCAGUGACACGAUCUCUGCUCACUGCAACCUCUGCCUCCUUGCACCAUUAAUUCUGAAAAUGCAGGCCUGGAUCCAACCGCCUUUGGGGACGGGUACCUGCCCACAGGAAGAGGUUGAGGAGACAAUAAUGUCACGAGAAUCAUCAUCUUUGACUGGGAAAUGGUGUGCAGAGUUUCUGGUGCCUUCUGAAGUGAUUGUCGCAUCUCAGCCUCCCUAGUAGCUGGGAUUACAGGCAUUUGCCACCAAGCCCGGCUAAUUUUUGUAUUUUUAGUAGAGACGGGGUUUCAUCAUGUUGGCCAGGCUGGUCUCAAACUCCUGACCUCAGGUGAUCCACCUGCCUCAGCCUCCCAAAGUGCUGGGAUUAUAGGUGUGAGCCAUGCACCUGGCCUGAUUGGUUAUUUAAAUUCUGAGAUGGGGUAUACUAAUGUUUGAAAACCACAGGGAUGGGAUAGGUAUAGGUGGGGAGGGAGAGCAAAAGUGGUAUUUAGAAUAUGUUACGUUUGAAAAACCUAAUACACAUUCUACAUCCAAGUGGACAUAGAUGGAGUUAUUUGA
rnacentral:lncRNA from 1 species